rnacentral:hammerhead_ribozyme from 1 species
AUACGAUCGCGGAAUGCGUAUUCCGCCUGAUGAGUCCGAAAGGACGAAAUCGGAA